rnacentral:rRNA from 1 species
AACAUGAAGAGUUUGAUCCUGGCUCAGGAUGAACGCUAGCGGCAGGCUUAACACAUGCAAGCCGAGGGGCAGCACGGUAGCAAUACUGGUGGCGACCGGCGCACGGGUGAGUAACGCGUAUGCAAUCUACCUCUAACUGGGGGAUAGCUCAGAGAAAUCUGAAUUAAUACCCCAUAAUAUUCCUGAGAGGCAUCUUUCGGGUCUUAAAGCUCCGGCGGUUAGAGAUGAGCAUGCGUGUCAUUAGCUAGUUGGUAAGGUAACGGCUUACCAAGGCUACGAUGACUAGGGGGUCUGAGAGGAUGAUCCCCCACACUGGUACUGAGACACGGACCAGACUCCUACGGGAGGCAGCAGUGAGGAAUAUUGGUCAAUGGGUGCAAGCCUGAACCAGCCAUGCCGCGUGAAGGAUUAAGGUUCUACGAAUUGUAAACUUCUUUUAUCAGGAAAAAAACCCCCGAACGUGUUCGGGGUUGAUGGUACCUGAAGAAUAAGGAUCGGCUAACUCCGUGCCAGCAGCCGCGGUAAUACGGAGGAUCCAAGCGUUAUCCGGAUUCACUGGGUUUAAAGGGUGUGUAGGCGGAGCAUUAAGUCAGUGGUGAAAUCCUGUCGCUUAACGACAGAACUGCCAUUGAAACUGAUGUUCUUGAAUGUGGUUGAGGUAAGCGGAAUGUGUAGUGUAGCGGUGAAAUGCUUAGAUAUUACACAGAACACCUAUUGCGAAGGCAGCUUGCUAAGCCAUGAUUGACGCUGAGACACGAAAGCGUGGGGAUCAAACAGGAUUAGAUACCCUGGUAGUCCACGCCGUAAACUAUGAUAACUAGUUGUUAGCGAUAUACAGUUAGCGACACAGCGAAAGCAUUAAGUUAUCCACCUGGGGAGUACGAUGGCAACAUUGAAACUCAAAGGAAUUGACGGGGGCCCGCACAAGCGGAGGAACAUGUGGUUUAAUUCGAUGAUACGCGAGGAACCUUACCUGGGCUUGAAAGUGAGUGACGGAUGCUGAAAGGUGUCUUCUCUUCGGAGCACAAAACUAGGUGCUGCAUGGUUGUCGUCAGCUCGUGCCGUGAGGUGUCGGGUUAAGUCCCAUAACGAGCGCAACCCCUAUUACUAGUUGCCAGCGGAUAAUGCCGGGGACUCUAGUGAGACUGCCAGCGUAAGCUGUGAGGAAGGUGGGGAUGACGUCAAAUCAGCACGGCCCUUAUGUCCAGGGCUACACACGUGUUACAAUGGCCAGUACAGAGAGCAGCCACCUGGUGACAGGGAGCUAAUCUUCAAAGCUGGUCUUAGUUCGGAUCGAAGUCUGCAACUCGACUUCGUGAAGCUGGAUUCGCUAGUAAUCGUAGAUCAGCAAUGCUACGGUGAAUACGUUCCCGGGCCUUGUACACACCGCCCGUCAAGCCAUGGGAGCUUGGGGUACCUGAAGUCUGUAACCGCAAGGAGCGGCCUAGGGUAAAACAAGUGACUGGGGCUAAGUCGUAACAAGGUAGCCGUACCGGAAGGUGCGGCUGGAACACCUCCUUU